rnacentral:lncRNA from 1 species
GGGGGAUGUUAGAAGAAUUAAACAAGUUAAAGAAGAUCAGAAGUGUAUAGAAGUCAGUAACAGCAGAAAAGCCAAACCUGAAAAAGUAACUGGAACAGAGGAAGCUAAACCAGAGGAAGGUCGUGGGUUGGCGAUCCAAGUGAACGAAUGAGCUGGCGAUCCAUGACUACAGGAGCUGGCGAAUCCGUGAAAGCAGAACCUGAAACACAGAAGCAGAUCAAGCAAAUUAAAGAAGCAGCAGUCAGAAGAAAUACACGUGUGUUGUUCACAUUAUUCGGUUGUAACUUCUAUAACAGAAAAUAGUUGAGCCAGUGACUAGUAUAAAAGGAAAAGAUAGAACAAGAGAAGGUGUGCGAGAGUUUAUUGUUAGUUUCUAAGGUUGAAAGCUUCUCUCGAUUCAUCAAGAGCUUCUUCUUCUUCUUCCUCUGUAUCUGUGAAAUGAUGAAAGAUUGUGUAAAGAAUAAACUUGAAGUACUGAAGAAGAAAUACAACAGAAGCUGAGGUAUUCUCAUUGCUUGUUCGAGAUCUAAACUUCUCUCAUAUAUCAAUCUUGUUCUGUAUUCGAUUUCUUCUCA